rnacentral:sRNA from 1 species
ACAAGGGUGAGGGAGGAUUUCUCCCCCCUCUGAUUGGCUGUUAAUAAGCUGCGAAACUUACGAGUAACAACACAAUCAGUAUGAUGACGAGCUUCAUCAUAACCCUUUCCUUCUGUAAGGCCCCUUCUUCGGGAGGGGCUUUCC